rnacentral:rRNA from 1 species
UACGAAGGGGGCUAGCGUUGUUCGGAAUUACUGGGCGUAAAGCGCGCGCAGGCGGCCUUUCAAGUCAGGGGUGAAAGCCCGGAGCUCAACUCCGGAAUUGCCUUUGAAACUGUCAGGCUCGAGUACGGGAGAGGUGAGUGGAAUUCCCAGUGUAGAGGUGAAAUUCGUAGAUAUUGGGAAGAACACCGGUGGCGAAGGCAGCUCGCUGGGACGGUAUUGACGCUGAGACGCGAAAGCGUGGGGAGCAAACAGG